CUCGGAGUUUUGAUCCUGGCUCAGAUUGAACGCUGGCGGAAUGCUUUACACAUGCAAGUCGAACGGUAGAGGGGGCAACCCCUUGAGAGUGGCGAACGGGUGAGUAUUAUAUCGGAACGUGCCCAGUCGUGGGGGAUAACGUAGCGAAAGUUACGCUAAUACCGCAUACGAUCUAUGGAUGAAAGCGGGGGAUCGCAAGACCUCGCGCGAUUGGAAGCGGUCCGAUAUCAGAUUAGGUAGUUGGUGAGGUAAAGGCUCACCGAAGCCGACGAUCUGUACGCUGGUCUGAGAGACGACCAGCCACACUGGAACUGAGACACGGUCCAGA
rnacentral:rRNA from 1 species